GCUACAAUUCCCAGCUCGUGACCCCUUGCUUCUUCUUCCCCCAUUUCUCCCACAUUUCUCCCAAAAUCAAAACUCCGUCUCCGUGUUGAAUCAGCCGACUUUUUUAUUUCGUCUCCUCCGUCUAGUUCCCCAUCUCCGCCCACCACGAAAGCAGAAUCGCCGCCGACGAAAACCGAUCUUCCUUCGAGCUCGAGCGCUACAACGAGAUCCCCAUUUCUCCUCCUCCAUCAAGCCACCUCCUUCCCCCAACUCAGGUUCAGCGUCCUCUCCCCCAAAUUCGGCUACAAGUCUCCGCGGACGAGCUCGUGGUCGAAGGUUGAAUAUCUACAUCAGGGGUCUUUUGGGAGAGUGUACACUUUUGAGCUGUGGCAUAAUCGAGUAAAAAUAAAGGAGUAAUUCCUGAGAAUAAGUUCUCCUUUGUGUGGUAAUUGUGUUGAAGACCAGAACAUGUUGCCUUCCUGAUUGUAAAUUAUAAGGAGUGCUUUCUCAUAAUAAAUUAUGAAAAUUUAUAUUAGCACGGCA